UUGGGGGCUCUCCCAUAUGGUCGACCUGCAGGCGGCCGCGAAUUCACUAGUGAUUCGUAUUACCGCGGCUGCUGGCACGUAGUUAGCCGGUGCUUAUUCUUCAGGGACCGUCAUCCUCCCGAGGUAUUAACCCAGAAGAUUUCUUCCCUGACAAAAGCAGUUUACAACCCGAAGACCUUCUUCACACACGCGGCAUGGCUGGAUCAGGCUUUCGCCCAUUGUCCAAUAUUCCCCACUGCUGCCUCCCGUAGGAGUCUGGACCGUGUCUCAGUUCCAGUGUGACUGGUCGUCCUCUCAGACCAGCUACUGAUCGAUGCCUUGGUAGGCCUUUACCCUACCAACUAGCUAAUCAGAUAUCGGCCGCUCCAGGAGCACAAGGCCUUGCGGUCCCCUGCUUUCAUCCAUAGAUCGUAUGCGGUAUUAGCGUAACUUUCGCUACGUUAUCCCCCACUCUUGGGUACGUUCCGAUAUAUUACUCACCCGUUCGCCACUCGUCAGCGGAGCAAGCUCCCUGUUACCGUUCGACUUGCAUGUGUAAAGCAUGCCCCCAGCGUUCAAUCUGAGCCAUGAUCAAACUCUAAUCGAA
rnacentral:rRNA from 1 species